rnacentral:rRNA from 1 species
AUUGAACGCUGGCGGCAGGCCUAACACAUGCAAGUCGAGCGGCAGCGGAAAGUAGCUUGCUACUUUGCCGGCGAGCGGCGGACGGGUGAGUAAUGUCUGGGAAACUGCCUGAUGGAGGGGGAUAACUACUGGAAACGGUAGCUAAUACCGCAUGACCUCGAAAGAGCAAAGUGGGGGAUCUUCGGACCUCACGCCAUCGGAUGUGCCCAGAUGGGAUUAGCUAGUAGGUGAGGUAAUGGCUCACCUAGGCGACGAUCCCUAGCUGGUCUGAGAGGAUGACCAGCCACACUGGAACUGAGACACGGUCCAGACUCCUACGGGAGGCAGCAGUGGGGAAUAUUGCACAAUGGGCGCAAGCCUGAUGCAGCCAUGCCGCGUGUGUGAAGAAGGCCUUAGGGUUGUAAAGCACUUUCAGCGAGGAGGAAGGCAUCAUACUUAAUACGUGCGGUGAUUGACGUUACUCGCAGAAGAAGCACCGGCUAACUCCGUGCCAGCAGCCGCGGUAAUACGGAGGGUGCAAGCGUUAAUCGGAAUUACUGGGCGUAAAGCGCACGCAGGCGGUUUGUUAAGUCAGAUGUGAAAUCCCCGCGCUUAACGUGGGAACUGCAUUUGAAACUGGGCAAGCUAGAGUCUUGUAGAGGGGGGUAGAAUUCCAGGUGUAGCGGUGAAAUGCGUAGAGAUCUGGAGGGAAUACCGGUGGCGAAGGCGGCCCCCUGGACAAAGACUGACGCUCAGGUGCGAAACCGUCGGGACCAAACGGUAUUAAUAUCCUAGUAGCCAAGGCGGAAUCACAAUGAUUUCAAGCUCAUCGAUACCCCCACUCGAUUAGGAGCACUGCAUCAUCUUAGUUUUCUUUUUGAGGGAAAUUAA